rnacentral:tRNA from 1 species
GGACAAAUAGUUUAAAUUCUAAAACAUAACACUGAAAAUGUUAAAAUGACUCAGUCUUUUUCCA